rfam:Exophiala mesophila strain CBS 40295 unplaced genomic scaffold supercont1.3, whole genome shotgun sequence.
GGUUUUAUAGUGUAGCGGUCAGCACGUGAGAUUCUGAUCAUCCCAGAAUUUUCUCGAGACCCCGGUUCGAAUCCGGGUAAGACCU